CUACGGGUCGCUGUAGUGAGGAAUAUUGCACAAUGGGGGGAACCCUGAUGCAGCAACGCCGCGUGGAGGAUGACGCAUUUCGGUGUGUAAACCCCUUUUAUAUGUCAAGAAAAUGACGGUAGCAUAUGAAUAAGCACCGGCUAACUCCGUGCCAGCAGCCGCGGUAAUACGGAGGGUGCAAGCGUUACUCGGAAUCACUGGGCGUAAAGGACGCGUAGGCGGGUUGGAAAGUCAGGUGUGAAAUCCUACAGCUUAACUUGAGAACUGCACUUGAAACUUCUAAUCUAGAGUAUGGGAGGGGGAGAUGGAAUUAGUGGUGUAGGGGUAAAAUCCGUAGAUAUCACUAGGAAUACCUAAAGCGAAGGCGAUCUCCUGGAACAUUACUGACGCUAAGGCGUGAAAGCGUGGGGAGCAAACAGGAUUAGAUACCCGAGUAGUC
rnacentral:rRNA from 1 species